UAAAGGAAAAGCUUGUCUGGCCACCCAUCUGUUCCUCAGUAAUGAUCACAAAUACAGAUGACUUUCUUUUUAUGGUAGUGGUCAUGACAGUGACGGUGAUGAUGAUGGUAGUUUUGUUAUUGUCUUUCUUAUGUACCCAAUAUGCUAAGUUUAUUGGGUCUGUUUAGCCUCAUCUCUUAAUGAUGUCCCUAAAUACCAUCAAUUGUAAUAGGGAUGUAGUGGAGGAGGGUGCAAUUUUUUCUGCUCCACUUGCUAUCAAAAAAGAUUAAUCAGAACCUGUAACUUUUCAGGAAACAUAACUGUAAAGGGCCACGGAGCUGUGGGAAGGAAGCCCAGACAGGGGUGGGCAGAGCAGCCCCCAGGCGCAAGAAGACCCGUCUCUCAACAUUUACCAGACAAAGCCUGGACAAAUGAACUCUUUUCCUCAGACCGAGAAGUUGUCUGUAUGCUGCUCUUGAUAAUACGUUAAAACUGGAGUGACCUGAAGUAAUGCUCUUGGUGAUUUAAACUCGAGUCUUUUAGUUCCGGUUGCACAGACAUCCCUUACAGCUGAGGGGGCAGAAGAAGCCUGGCAGACCCGUUCCUGCUUCACAUCCUCUCUGACAUUGAGUGCUGACACCAACUCUUAGCUGUGCACCAUCACUGACCAAGACCUACAAACUGAACUCUAGAGAUAAAUGCUCGCUUAUCUGUCUUCCUCUUUCUUCUUCCCUCUGCAGUGUGUUUGGGUUUAUUUGUCCCUCUCUAUUUUGUCCCGUCUAAUCAGAGAGUAGAUACGCUCUUGAAGAUCUUGUCCGGCUUUUUCCUUUAAUUCCAGGUUUUCCUACCUCAACCCACUACACCUACUGUGCCCUACUUGGGAUGGGUUCCGGCGUCCAUUCUUAGACCCAGUCCUCCGCCCCACCGAAUUCACCAGGGCUGUCUUUCUCUCUCUCUCUCCUUAAUCUAUGUCAACCCCCCCCCCCACCCUAUCCCUGAAUCCCGCGAUUGUCCCAGCAUGAGUGACAUUGACUUUUCCUAUGUAAUGACUUAUGAAAGAUAUAAUCAUGUGUUAAAUUGAAUCCUCCGUUUAACUGUUAAUGGUGUGCUCUGGGCACAUUUGCGUAUUAGAUGCUAUGGUAACUAAUUACCACUAGAAAAAGGGAUAAUACACUUCCCAGACUUUGAAAAAUAAUUAUGAGAGUUCACAUCCCUGCUAGCAACAUUCCGCGGCGGAUCUGCUGGAAUGAGUAAGUGAGUCAGUGAAUGGGUAAGUGAACUUGCGCGCAUGGAAAGGGUGAGAUAAUGAAUCCUGGUCAAGGGAAUUUUCCUAUUAAAACCUUUAAUGAAAAUGCGACAGGGCUGGGGGCGGGGAGGAAGUUCGAACUAGGCUCUAAAAGUAAUUAAAUUGCUCCAUGUAAACAUCAGAAACAUAAAUAUGUUUUCUUUUUAAUUAAAAUGCAGUAUAAAUGCCGAAUAAAAUACGUGCCAGAACAACUUUACGUCAAUUAACAUCUUUUUGGGUGCAGUUGUUCCAGCUGAGAUAAAUGAGCCGUUCUCCCUAAAACUCUGCCUUCUCAUUUAGAACAUCCGCCCCUCCUCCAUUUGCUGAUGGGUGAUUUGAACUUUGUUUUGAUUUGUUUUUAAAAAAUGUUUAACAACUAGAUAUUAGUUGGGGCAAAGCACAAUAACUGCCUUAAGUUAACACUGGCUUUGGGGCAAGACAGGUUCGAAGACAAAUAACCUCUCCCAGCGUGACAUUCCUCUUUCUCCACAGAUGCCCAAUCUAUAGGAUCCUGUACCCAGCCAGGGACUGGCAUGCCAUUUUGCACCCAGAGCGGUAGCAGACAGACAGAAGCAGAAGGCCACAUGAUCCGCCCUCGCAGACUACUCUCAGAGUUUCUCCUUGCCUUGAUACAAGGAUUGGGGAAGGUCGUGCCUUCUAUAUCGUUUUCUUUCCCUUCUUCCGAGUGCCCUCCAGUCAGAGGGAUUUCUUUCGCCUUCAUUCUCCCAGCUUGGCAGAACUUCUUUCCUUCUUGCAGGCACAGUAUCUUUUCAAUCCUUAAAAGUUCCUUUGGGACAAAACCUAACACUAGGGGAGUUCUCUCCAUUUUGCUCUCUCUCUCUCUCUCUCUCUCUCUCUCUCUCUCUCUCUCUCUCUCUCUCUCUCUCUCUCUCUCUCUCUGUCUGUCUGUCUGUCUCUCGUCGCCCUCCCCGGUCCCUCUCGAAGUCUGGGGGCAGAAGAUUUCACGCUCUGGAAAACCAGCACCGGAGUGGAUUUCCAAGUAGCUGUCUGCUUCAGAAGGAGAACAAGGGCACAAAAGCCAUACUUUGGAUUUUUCGAAACCCACCAAGUUCUCAAUGCAAACUGAGUCCCUCCUGGCACAAAAGGGAAACUGCUAACCUUCCUUGAGGUAUGGCAUGAGUUAAGUUCCCCGGAUCACUGGAUUUCCCGUUGCUGGGGUCCAGCAGUCUCCCAAAUACAGAAUGUAGAUACAGGUGCCCCAAGACUACCUCUCCCUCAGAUGCUCCCUGAUUCGGGUUCUAGGGAAUACAGAGCACUGCCACCUAUAUGAGAGCUAGACUCAGACUGCCCUAGGACUGCACUCCCAAAUUUAAAUGUUAACAAAAAAGCUCCCCAAAGGGCAAAUCCAGCAUGUGUGGCCAGGUAUAUAAUUACCUUAAUUAUAUACACUGGGACUUUAUUCGUCUCCGAAAGAGUUAAAUCUUCCCCUAAGCUCAUAGUUGCCCUUGUCUUCUCAACCUGAUUCAGAGACAUGUAAUAAAAUAUGAAGCAAAUUUAUGA